rnacentral:rRNA from 1 species
GACGAACCGUGCGAACGUUAUUCGGAAUCACUGGGCUUAAAGCGCGUGUAGGCGGGGUGGCACGUCGGUCGCUGAAAGCCCCCGGCUCAACCGGGGAAAGGGCGCCGAUACGACCACCCUGGAGGGACGUAGGGGGACCUGGAACUUCCGGUGGAGCGGUGAAAUGCGUUGAGAUCGAAAGGAACGCCCGUGGCGAAAGCGAGGUCCUGGACGUUUACUGACGCUGAGACGCGAAAGCCAGGGGAGCGAACGGG